GGGGGCGAUCGGUUUCGACGGGAUAUGAGACAUGUCGGACUGCAUGCGGAGGACGUCAGUACCCUCCUAAAUCAUCUGACAAACCAAUAUAUGCCGAUUACGGCUAUAUGGCUGCUGCUUAAUUGACGCAGCCCGUUCCGGGUUAGAUGCGCCUAUGGUCUGAUCUAGGAACGUCGCUCACGUAGGCUGGUUCCGAAUGCGCCUGCGGUUUCGGAACGAGAUUCAGCAGGCUGGCCCUGUUUACUUGGGUCUCCGGUUGAAAACAGGGUAAGAUAAAAAUCGGAAGACUAAGCAUGUAGACGUCCUGCAUCACUCUAUUUCGGACGGGAGUUCGAUUCUCCCCGCCUCCACAA
rnacentral:tmRNA from 1 species